rnacentral:lncRNA from 1 species
UUUGGUGGUAUCUAUGCCGAAAUAUAUGGCAGCUGGAAGAAAUGGGGGUUAUCGUGAUAACGAAGUGAGGGAUCGUGAAUCGGAUCUUGAUGUGUCGAGGAGGGAUAUUGGGUAUUCUAAGGGGGAGAAUGAUAGAAUGAAGAAUGGGUAUAGGGAUUAUGAAAAAAUUCAAGGUCGGGGUGGGGGUAGUAGGGAUAGGGGGACGGUGAGACAGAAGGAUGUUAAAGAGAGGGAAUCGAGUAAUGGGGGUUUGUAUCGGUCUGUUUCGAGGAGUGGGUCGGGGAGUAGUGGCAGUAGUGGAGGUGGUAGGUUGAGGGGAUUGUUGGUUGGUUCGGUUGAUCGUGAGCCAGGGGAGCUAUCAAGUGAGAGUGGAUCCGAGGAAGCUACAGAUUCGUCUCGGGCUGAUAAUAAUAGAAGUGACUUGAAGCAGGAGAGUGGGAUGAGUUUACCAGCUCAAAGUAAGAAGAGAAAGUUCUCGCCGAUUGUGUGGGACAGAGAUGAAGUGAGUAUUGUGUCUCAACAAAGUGUUGCAUUGACACCUAGUGUUCUCCCUCCCCCACCUCCACCGCCCAAGUCUUAUAGAGAGUCUCCUAACACUAUUGUUGCUGGUGCAGUUGAAAUUUGUCCGAUUGAGUAUACUAAGCUUCAACCCUCAGAGUCGGAGCUGCCGGUUGAGCCUGUUGUAGAAAUCGUGUCACAUGUUUCUGUUGUAGCAGAGUCUCUUGGUGUUUUAUCUUCUGCUCCUCAGGAACAGCACACAGAAUACAAUGAGGAUUAUGCACCAACCUUGAAUAUUAGAUCCUCUAGAUGGGCAAAUGAUGCCAAUUCCCCAGCGGAUGAAGGGGAAAUUUCUGACUCUCCUGAUGUUAGAAUGCUGAAAAAGAUGAAGAAAAUGCCCUUGGCUGCUCAACAGGAGAUGAAAGUGCGGAAUAAAUUGAUUAGUCCGGAGUUAGUGGAGCUCAAGAGAGAAGGUUCUGAAGGUCAGAGGGCUAGAUCAUCUGAAUCUGAUGAAGGUGCUCGCUGUAGGUCUUCGAGCGGAGAUUUUUAUGCAGACAAGGACCAGGACAAUGCUGAUUAUAUGGAGAUGGAUAUAGAACAUAAUAAUGGUAGUAAAAUUGGCCGUAAAGAUACAGAUUCAGAGGAUGAAUGUUAUUCUCGUGAUACGCCCGAACCUGCUGCUCCCCCGCAGAGGAGUGUGAACAUGCUUCAGGGUUGUAGAAGUGUGGACGAGUUUGAGAGGCUUAACAAAAUAGAUGAAGGUACGUAUGGGGUAGUAUAUAGAGCAAAAGAUAAGAAAACUGGAGAAGUUGUUGCAUUAAAGAAAGUCAAGAUGGAAAAAGAGAGGGAAGGUUUUCCAUUGACUUCUCUACGAGAGAUAAAUAUCCUCCUUUCCUUUGAUCAUCCUUCAAUUGUUGAUGUGAAAGAAGUAGUUGUGGGGAGCAGUCUUGACAGCAUCUUCAUGGUAAUGGAAUACAUGGAGCAUGAUCUGAAGGCACUGAUGGAGACGAAGAAACAGCCAUUUAGUCAGAGUGAGGUCAAGUGCCUCAUGCUCCAGUUACUCGAAGGUGUGAAGUAUCUUCAUGAUAAUUGGGUUCUCCAUAGAGAUUUAAAGACCUCAAAUUUGCUUUUAAAUAACCGUGGUGAGUUGAAGAUAUGCGAUUUUGGGUUGGCUCGUCAAUAUGGAAGCCCCUUAAAACCAUACACUCAUUUGGUUGUAACUUUGUGGUACAGGUAAAUUAUAAAUCCAGAAUCAAUUGCUUUCUCCUGAGCUGAUUUUGCUAUCAUGUAUUAGUUUUAAAUUUCUUCACGGUGUUGGAUGUUAUUAUGUCUUGUUCUGUCCUUAACCUUUCUAAAGUGCGUUGUAGAUCCAUAAUUAUGUGAUCUUUCGUUUUCAAUUUUAACCGUCCAUUCUUUAAUAUUCAGCUUUGUUAUUGGCACAUUGUUGUUGCUUUUACUCUGUUUAUUAUUUUUGCAGGUUCCUUUAUUUGUUUCUAAUUUGGAUUUAGUGUGUGUACUACUUGUAUAUCAUUUUAUCUUGGGUAUAUAUGUUUCUUUUUGUAACAUGCUUGUAUUUUUAUAAUCUUAUAAUAGGUAUUAAAAUAAAAUUUUGGUACAGGGCACCUGAACUUUUAUUGGGAACGAAACAGUAUUCAACUGCAAUUGACAUGUGGUCCCUGGGUUGCAUUAUGGCUGAGCUCCUGUCCAAGGAACCACUAUUUAACGGGAAGACAGAAUUUGAUCAGAUAGACAAGGUAUUUUCUAUUUCAGUGAUCUCUUGGUAAGGAAGUUUGAUAAUUAUGAAAUUCUUGUUAUUGCAUUUCUUUAUGUGUUCCUUAGCUACAUCAACUUGAUUUGUGCAGAUAUUUAAAAUGCUCGGCGUACCAAAUGAGACUAUAUGGCCUGGUUUCUCUAAACUCCCUGGAGUGAAGGUGAAAAACGUCAAGCAGCCGUAAGUGUUUAUUUGCCUGAAUAACAGUACUUGUCUAAGUCUUAGUUCACCCUAUCUUAUUCUCGCCACUUGUUUUCCCAGGCUUCCAGCUUUGGGUGGUAUUCUGGUCUGGUUUACUGGCCUCGAUUGGUGAAAGUUUCAAUUAGAAGACAAGUAUAUCAUUUGUCUAUUAACUAGAGGUGUAUAUGUUUCAGGUACAAUCUGCUGCGUAAGAAGUUCCCAGCUACAUCUUUCACAGGAUCUCCAGUUCUCUCAGAUGCUGGAUUUGACUUGCUGAACAAGCUUUUAACUUAUGAUCCGGAGAAGGUAUGUAUAUGUUACACAUUCCUGUUCAAGAUUAUUAUUGAUACGUUAUAUUCUAGCUACUUAUCCUUGAUUGUAUGCGCAGAGAAUAACAGCUGAUGCUGCUCUUAACCAUGAGUGGUUCCGUGAAGUUCCUCUUCCUAAAUCCAAAGAUUUUAUGCCUACAUUUCCUGCUCAGCAUGCGCAGGACAGGUACGUUCUAGGCAACUUAGCUUGGUUGAUGCAGAUCCAUAAUUCUGAUCACUUGUUCGUAGUAUUGGUGAUGUAAUCGAGGUGAUGAUGUUUUUCCAGACGUACUCGAAGAUUAUUGAAGAGUCCAGAUCCUCUUGAAGAGCAGCGGCGGAAAGAGUUAAAGCAAAGGGAACUGGGGACAGGCGGUCUGUUUGGAUGAGCAAAUUUAGUAUAUGUGGAGUGCUUAAAAGCUCUGAUCUUAAAUGUAUAAUAUCCACUGAUGUACGCGCUGAAGGUGGCACAAAAUUAUUUUUGUGAUCAGCGGUGCUGUUUUUUAGCAGGCACCCCCUUGAUUUGGGCGGAAAGAUGUUCUUCAAAAUCAGAGAGUAGCAGCUUGGCUGUCCAUUGAUAUAUCAUUAGGUUCUGUGACACUGCUAGCAUAGCAAUGUCGAUAAUGGUCUCUAUCAGUUUAAUGUUAGAAUAGUCUCUCUUGGAACAGUAUGUAAUAUAUUUUACUGAAUUUGUAAGCAAUUCUCUUGUACAAUUGGUUUUGGUCACUGAAAAACAAGGUCUUUAUUCCCUAAGUGUCAUUUUCAAUGUUUAAUAAUUGGAUUAUUUUUUUAUUUGCGCGAGUCGGUUAGUAUAGAGCAGAACUGCUUGUACCUUGCUAGAUUUAUGUUUUGUUGGGGGUGAAUGGAUUUGGAUUUAUGUUUUGGUGGGGUGAAUGAAUUUGGAUUAUGUUGUGUUUAGUCGGGGGAAUGAAUUUGAAUGAAAUUUAUAUUAUGAUGUGAGUAAUUUUAUAUAAAUUUCAUUCUUUCUUUAAUUUCUUACAUUCUCUAUUAGAUAUCAUAUCUUCAUUUUGGGAAGAGAUACUUAAUUAUCUUUUAUACUAAAUUUAUUUUCAAGGUAUCUUGCACUUAUUCACUUAUUCUUUUAUUCUUUUAUAUCCAUUAUGUUAGUUUAUCUUUUAUCAUUCCAUUCUUCCCGGUUUUUCUAUUUUCCUGAGCAAAUCCAACUUUUAAGUUGAGUCAAGUUCUUUUAUAAAGAAUGAGACCUCAUUUCAAAUUCUUUUGUCACACGGCUCUUAAAUAAUCAGCACAAAGUAGAAUUCUCCUAUUCCUUCCAAAUUAUUAAUUUUAGCACAUUGCAAAAAACACGAGUUUUUACCAUCUAGAUAAUUAUGCAGCAAUUAAGUAAACUAGUUACUUACCUGGUUUGCACACGUACUGAAUGCUGCACUUGAAGUAUCUCGACGAGGAUUGUUGGAUCAACUCAGCUAAGAAAUUUUUCAGAACUAAUUUUGUGGAGGAGAAGAUAAUAAGAGAAGCAUUUAACACAAAAACUGAUAACAUAACUUCGGGGCUGCCUACCAUAACAAGAGAACUCUGGAGCUAAUUAACAAAAACUCGAAUUUGUCUGGUACUUAUUAGCAGUGGCGGAACCAGGAGACAAACUCAUCCGGGGCUCAAAAAAUAUUCGAGACUCAAAUAUUUAACAACAUUUGAUUGAGGAAAAAUAUCAGUUAAUACAAAGAUUUUUGAAAUUUACUCGGGGUUGAAAUUUUUCUUUUAUAUCAUUUUUAGAGAACAUCAGGGCUAAAAAAAAUUAAAUUUCUACUGGUUUUUUUUUCCUUGAUGGGGCUCCAGCCCCUCUUCGCCCCAUCGCCCCUUUCUACUGUUUGAAAUUCCCUCUUUGCACAGCUAAUUUUUUUUUACCCUUUUAAACAGUGUUCUGAAAAUCCUCGAUUUAACCGAUUAAUCCCCUGCAAGAUCGGUCACCGAUCCGAUUUUUGAAAUCCGAUUAAUCCUUAUAUAUAUUUCUUAAUUGAAGUAUAUAUGAUAAAUCAUUAGAAUUAAAAUACUAAAGUUUAUGAAUAUAGUAAAUAUAUUAGUUACUAAAUAGCUAAUAUAAUAAUAAUUAAAUAUUAAAUAAUAUUUUAAUAUUAAAAUAAAUCCGAUUUUCACACCGAUUAAUCUUUCCGAUUAAUCCCCGAUUUCCGAUUAAUCCCUAAAUCGGUAGCUCAACCGAUUAUGUCCGAUUCCCGAUUUCUGUACUGCUUUUAGGCCGAUAGUGGCGGUGCAAGACGCAUUAUAAAACCGAUAAACACACGGCUCCACAUGUGAUAUUUUAUCAUCCGAAUAAAAAUAAUACAAUAUUCGAUCGAAAAUAUAAAUACCUUUUAUCAAAUAUCAAAUCAGUCUCUUUGAGGUCUCGAUUACGCCCCUCUCUCUCUCUCGCAGCGAUUCCCGUCUCUCUUGAAGCGACGUCGCAGCCGUUUUGUAUUGUUGUUGCAAUUCAAUUGAACACGAGGAGUCACUCAACGGGUACUAGUCGAUUCAGUUAGGGUUUUAUUGUUGCAAUUGUGUUGUUUUUAUCCCCAAUUUGAUUUGUAGUGAUAAAGAUUGCUUUUUCUGUUUGAUGAUGCUUUGUGUUGGUUGUUUUUGAUUGAGUUGUGGUGUGUACGGGUCUUGAAUUGAUUAAAGUUUUGAUUUUUAGCGGUUUUGAUUAGUAUAUUUGGAAAGGGAUAAUAAUUGUUGAAUUGGAGAUUUAGGGUUAGGGUUUUUGUGAUUUUGUGUUUGGGUUUUUGAAGUUUUUUGUUGUCUUAUUUAUGCCGAAACAUAUGUCAGCUGGAAGAAACGGGGGUUAUCGUGAUAAGGAACUGAGGGAUCGUGAAUCAGAUCUCGAUGUGUCGAGUAGGGAUAUUGGGUAUUCUAAGGGGGAGAGUGAUAGAAUGAAGAAUGGUUAUAGGGAUUAUGAAAAAAUUCAAGGUCGGGGUGGGGGCAGAAGGGAUAGGGGGAGGGUGAGACAGAAGGAUGUUAAAGAGAGGGAAUUCGGUAAUGGGGGUUUGUAUCGGUCUGUUUCGAGGAGUGGGUCUGGGAGUAGUGGCAGUAGUGGAGGUGGUAGGUUGAGGGGAUUGUUGGUUGGUUCGGUUGAUCGUGAGCCUGGGGAGCUAUCAAGUGAGAGUGGAUCGGAGGAAGCUACUGAUUCGUCUCGGGCUGAUAAUAUUGAAAGUGUCAUGAAGCAGGAGAAUGGGACGAGUUUACCAGCUCAAUAUAAGAAGAGAAAGUACUCGCCGAUUGUUUGGGACAGCGAUGAAGUGAGUAUUGUAUCUAAACAAAGUGUUGCAUUGACACCUAGUGUUCUCCCUCCACCUCCACCGCCCAAGUCUUAUAGAGAGUCGCCUAACACUAUUGUUGCUGGUGCAGUUGAAAUUUCUCCAAUUGAGGAUACUAAGCUUCAACCCUCAGAGUUGGAGCUGCCGGUUGAGCCUGUUGUGGAAAUCGAGUCGCAGGUUUCUGUU